AUUACAGCUAAACAAAAACACUGCAGAAAUUUAAAAACAACCCUGAUCCUUAACAGUAAGAAAAUUGAAAAAUGGUCUAGUCACUAAAGGGUUAAGUGGUCUGGGUGCCUAUAGUGCCUCUUUAAGAGUUUACGGGUGUAAGAGCAUGAAGAACAGUAACUUCCAGAAAAGAAAAAGUCCUAGGCAUCAAAGGUUAAAGUGCAAUACACUUUUUGUUUUUAUAAUAAAAACACAUAUUGUAUGCUUCUGCACCUUCAACUAAAUCUGAAUC